rnacentral:pre_miRNA from 1 species
GUAAUACUUCCUCCGUCCCAGAAUUCUUGUCUUAGAUUUGUCUAAAUACGGAUGUAUCAAGUCAUGUUUUAGUAUUAGAUACAUCCGUAUCUAGACAAAUUUAAGACAAGGAUUUUGGGACGGAGGGAAUAUAUA